GGAGGGCGCAAGCGUUGUUCGGAAUCAUUGGGCGUAAAGCGGGUGUAGGCGGCUUGGCGAGUCGGAUGUGAAAGCCCAGGGCCCAACCCUGGAAUUGCAUUCGAUACUGUCUCGCUAGAGUCCCGGAGAGGAUGGCGGAAUUCCCGGUGUAGAGGUGAAAUUCGUAGAUAUCGGGAGGAACACCAGUGGCGAAGGCGGCCAUCUGGACGGUGACUGACGCUCAGACCCGAAAGCGUGGGGAGCAAACAGGGAUUAGAUACCCUGGUAGUCCACGCCGUAAACGUUGGGUGCUCGUCGUCGUGGGUAUUGACCCCCUGCGGUGACCAAGCUAACGCGAGAAGCACCCCGCCUGGGGAGUACGGCCGCAAGGCUA
rnacentral:rRNA from 1 species